rnacentral:snoRNA from 1 species
AACAUCAAUCGCAGCUCCGAGCUCCACAAAGCUCGACUGGUCUCUAUGUGGCCAGCCGAGUGGGGUAGAUACCGGGCAGAAGCGUAGAUAGAUUGCACGUUGCUGGGCGCCUGGCGUUGACUACUAUAUGGAAUGCUGGGAAUCAGUUGAGGCUACAAAU